rnacentral:lncRNA from 1 species
AAAGAGUGAUGCUGAAGCGCUGGUCAUUUCUGUCAGCUGGGAAAGGAAGGAAGAUGUUGUUGCUCUAUCUAAUGUCACUUUUUAUUCCAAAACAUUUGACACUUUUUAUCUGCAACAUCAUGAAUCACUUGGUCAUUUGAGAAAAGACACAUAAUUAGACAUUUUCUAUUACAAGUAGUUCAAAUUGUAUAAACACAUAAUUCAUGAGUUUGCAGUAGUGUCUGCCUUUAUGUCAGGGCAAAUUUGAGCAUAUUUCAAUUUUGUCCAACUUGUUACUAAUAAACUUGAUUUGUCCAGAGCUCUCAACUCAAUUCAAACAACUCAUGACACCAUUCCUUCGACACACACACACACACUUUUAUCCAAAGCAACUUGCAGUGCAUUCUAGUUAUAAUUAGUUUUUUGUUUUUUUAACCAGUGUGUGUUUGUUCCCUGGGAAUUGAAGCCACAAACUUUAGCACUGACUGCUCACAUAAUGCUCCACCACUGACAGACGGACCGACACACACAUACAUGCACACACACACACACACACACACAAGGAGGAAGCUUUUGGGAUCAAGUGGAAAGAGGGACACAGUCUAGUCAGUCAUAUGAACUCGGGACUGGUUCAGUCACAAUGAGAAAUCUUAUUCUAAACUGGACAUUUCUCUUUAUUUUACAUCUGACCAAAGAGGACGCUUCAGUGCAAAAGCUGAGUGCCCCAGAAAAGCACUUUCUUGUCCUGAUGUGUUCUGACGCUUCAUAUGUUGACUGGAGCCAUGGGCUGGAAAAGGUGAUCGCUUCUAAACGAGGAAAGCUGGUGUCUUACCUGGACCAAAGCAAACACCAGCUGCUUGAAGACGGCCAGCUCUCCAUUAAAGGCCUGCAGGAAUCAGACGCAGGAGAAUAUUACUGCAACCAUCAGCUAGUGGCAGAUAUCACUGUGCUCAAAGGUCAUAACUUUACAGUUGCUGAGGGCACAACUAUUUAUCUGCCAUGUAAGACAUCUGAUAAAAUGAAGCAGAGAUGGGCAUUCAAACGCACUCCUCACUCCAGAAAAGAGUUCAUCUCCACACUUUAUAAAAACAGCACCAUAAAGAAAGAGAGAGCUGAUCCAACAUUAAGAUUCACCCACACCACAGACCACCUGAUUAUCUCCAGUCUCCGGCUGCAGGACUCUGGGCUUUAUCUGUGCAACAACAGAGAGAUGGCUUUCCUCACGGUGACCACAGCAUCGACUGAAAUUGAAAACAGCAGUCCAGAUAUAAACAAAUAUCUGACUGUGGCCGUCCUGCUGGCCUUGUGCAUACUGGCGAUGGUUUGUGUUGGACUUCUGUCUGUGACGAUCGGCUGGAAAAGCAGAAGAAGGAGAAGAAACUUCAGAAAAGAAACAGAGCUGACAAAUAUUGCAUCUGGUCAACAAUUACAAAGCAUGUCAAAUGAAGGCCCCUGGAUGCUGGACCCUCAGGAGGAUGCAGGGGAAAUCCAGUACGCGUCUCUGGCUGCGUAUAUCACAUUGACUGGAGCAGGAGCCGUGGCUCUGGACCGUCUGAGGAACCGGAGACUGGAAUACUGUACUUGUGCUGCCUGGAAAACAACAGCAUCUCCCUGCGUUAGUGAAUCAGUAUUAAUGUCACUCUCAGAGCACAAAACAACACAAACGACUGACUACACAGACAAACAGGAGAACCAAGGUUCCUUUCGUAGGUAUGCCACUUCUUAG